GUCAGAAGAGAUAGCUCAGUUGGUUAGAACAUGGUGCUGAUAACGCCAAGGUUGCAGGUUCAAUCCCCCCGUGUGGGACA